UGUUGACCUCGAAUCAGGUAGGAUUACGUGGUCCGCUGAACUUAAGCAUAUCAAAAGGCCGGGAGGGAAGGGCGGUCGCGCUAAUCAGCGAAA
rnacentral:rRNA from 1 species